CCUUAAAAUAUAUGUUAAACGAAAGUGUACACGCAAGUGCUCUUCACUACUGAAAAGAAGUCUCGCGGAAGGAACGCAAGUCUGACUGAUUGAUGUGGAAGGAAACUAUUUUCACAAGCAUUUUUGUUUCUAGCAUCGUACUUGUCACUUGUACAUCAAUAUAUCGAUAUAUGCGUCGAAAUAAUUAACAGUUUCGAAAAUAUUUCAGUCUUGGACGAUUAUCCCAACGUAACUUCACAAGUAAAAAUAAUUUUUAGGAUUUUGAAUAUUCGAAUUUAUAGCUCCUCUGCUAUUAACGUGACGCGUGAUGUCAACAAAACAUUUGAAGUGGAAAUACGCGGUUCUAACGACUCCUCUUGUCCUUGUAACGUCCUGCCAGACUUUUUUUACCAGCAGUGAACAAUAUACUAUUCAUUGGUGGGAAGAAGUUUCGCAGAAGGAAUCCGAUUGGUUAAUUUGGAAGGGAACGCCUAUUUUCACACGCAUUUUUGUUUCUGCCAUGGUAUUUGUCACAUAUACUAAUCCGAAUAAACGGCCGAUCUGUAUCUAAACCUCGAUGCAUUAGCGUAGGCAUAGAAUCCGAAGAAUUCUAACCUCUUAUUUUGUAUCGAUACGCUCUUGGACGAUUAUUAACGUAACUUCGUAAAUGAAAUAAGUUUGCGAAUUUGAAUAUUCAAAUUAUAACACUUCUAUAUAGCGUGUGAUUGUCGAGAAAGCGUGUAAAGCGUGGAAAUGGAUGAUCUUAGGGCGAAGGAUUCCUUCUUGCGAGGCUUCUUCUAAACUUAUAUACGUACGUCUCGUGCCAAAGUGGAGGCGUCCUCGGUGUGAUGUUUCAAAACUUUGUUCGAUCUUAAACGAUUUCUGAGGAUGUGGUGGGUGGCGAGGGCAGAUGCGAAUCGACUUUGCACCAGAAGAGUUCGCACCGCUUCGAGUUCGGCUUCGACACCCGGCCCCGAAAUGCCUAGAGCACCGGAAAUAUUGCGCAACUGAAGCUGUAGCCUCUCCAACGUCGCGACGACCUCUCCGUAC